rfam:Salmo salar isolate Sally breed double haploid chromosome ssa03, whole genome shotgun sequence.
UGUAUUCACUACUGUAAGUCGCUCUGGAUAAGAGCUUCUGCUAAAUGACUAAAA